rnacentral:tRNA from 1 species
GGGCGGGUGGCUCAGCCUGGUUAGAGCGCUACGCUGAUAACGUAGAGACCGGGAGUUCAAAUCUCCCUCUGCCCACCA